CUUAAUUUAUGAAUAUGUUUCUGCAAUGUUCAUAUAUCAAAGAAUUCAUACUAAAAGUAAAGUUUAAUAUAUAUGAAACAAUCUUGCAGAAUAGGAGGUUUUCUAUUUUUUUUAAGUCCAAUUAGCUGAGUAUUUUCUGUUACAUGUGAAGAAAUCCACAAAUAUUUCAUUACACAAGUAGAACAAACUGUCCAUACAAUCUUCUGUCAAUAUAAUAUCUUUACCAAAAAGGAUAAUUUUGAUAAAAUGCUAUUCUAAAAUUCAUAUAAAGAUAUGAUAUUUUUUUAUGUGAAUUUGUUUUCUCCAGGUUAUAAAAGAGAAAAAAAAAAUGAAAAAAAAAUGAAAAUAAUGAAGAAUUCAAACUCAAUGCAAAGCCAGUGAUAAUUUAAGUUCAUAACUCUCAAACCCUAAUGUAGCAAUCAGAGAUUAAAACCAUAACUUUAAAAAAUGCCAAACCCUAAAUCCGUAAAUUUCUGAAGUCUAGUCUUUAAAGCGUACUCUGCACCCAUCACCGCCCAGUGCCCAUCACCGUAUCGGAAGCGAUGGGAUCCAGAACCGUGCCGAGCCUCACCGAUCACGCCGCCAGGCAGACACGGAAAUCACUGACCCGCGCAGGAACGAUUGACCGAUGCAUCGACGAUCGUCGCAUCCUCGCUUCGACGACGUUUAAUCCCCAGUAAACGUCUAGAGACAGGACUCGUGUCUGAACCACGAGCGAAAUUGACGGCUUUCCAUUAUCGUUGGGUGUCGCUAAACACACGUCGCAUACGACUUUGCAGCAGCACUUCAAUGCGGUGUGGUCCACGGAAGAAGACGCCACCCUUCUCCAGCUGUGGCGCCAUUUUUCGAAAGCCACUCAUGCAUUGACUUUGUAGAAGGUGGCAGCUGGAGUUUUUCGAAUCGUGACUACUGCUUGUGCUCGUCGUGGCUGCAACUGGAGUCGCCAUCAAGCUAUCUGUUCCUCUCCAAAUCCUUUUUUUUACCUUGUGGAUUCGUUUCGGAAGCAGCUCCCUAUUCUUCGGUUUCUAUUAUGGGACAAGCGUGCUAAGGAGGUACUCAGUGGCUAUGGCUUCUAGAAGUCCUGAGCUUUGGUCUAAUUGUUGUGUUGGACAUGGUGUCCGAGUCCGACGGUGCAGCUGCAGUCUCCACGGACAGUCUUUUGGAAGGAAGCGUGGGCAACUCCACGGCUUCCAUUGGGCACCCCUAUCAGCAGAACUUGAGGAUAAUUUGGAACGUAGAAACGAGAUGGGUGAAUAGUCUUUGCUCGAAAUCCUUCAAUUCGUAUUGGAUGAGGGCAAGCUGCUUGAUGAAGAGUCACUUUCAGACACAGUGCAAUAAUUAAGAAUGCAGUGUGGGAUGCUGAACAGAGAAGCAGCAUCCAUAAUCUACAUCAACGGACUGGCACAGGCCCAGCGAGCACAUUGGUUAUGCAACGGUGACGGUAUGAACCCAAAAGCCUAUCGCCCUUUUGAACAGCAGGGGAUAAAAAGUUAGAAUGGCCAACAAAAGAAAACUGUCCCUUUCAUAGUCAAUAUGUGUUUUUUGGUCUAGGUAGCAGAGAUAGUUCAGCUAUCUACAUCAGUGCCCAAAUAAUUAUCUCUCCCUCGUGAAUGCUUCAAAAGAAAGAAUGUGCACGAUUCGACAUAUCCUCUUUUGCAUUGCUAA